GGAGCGUCGCCUGUCAUAUUGUAUGUAUAGGCGCGUGCCGCGUUGUACGUGAGGUUGCUCCGUGGUGAUUAUCAGAGGUGAAGCAGCUUGUUGGUGCAACUGUUGUGGGAAUUCUUCGUCGGUGUUCUUUUCUCCUGGUGUCCUUGGUCGUCUGGGAGGCUUAUGUGCAAGGUGCAGCAAUAGGUGGGUGAGCGAACUCCAUAUAGCGCCAAGAAGGUGCAAACUGCAUCCGUACACGGUGUGAAGAGCGUAUCCAUGGAUGGCGGUGUCUACUAACAGCUUGAUUAUGCGGAUGACGAUGAAUAUUCCGAGAACUCCUGCGGUUGCUGAGCUGAAGGUCGUACAUGGAGGCGAUGUUUUCUCCUGUUUUAUAUCCGGU